UUGAACGCUGGCGGCAUGCUUUACACAUGCAAGUCGAACGGCAGCGGGGGCUUCGGCCUGCCGGCGAGUGGCGAACGGGUGAGUAAUGCAUCGGAACGUACCCAGUCGUGGGGGAUAACUACGCGAAAGCGUGGCUAAUACCGCAUACGCCCUGAGGGGGAAAGCGGGGGACCUUCGGGCCUCGCGCGAUUGGAGCGGCUGAUGUCGGAUUAGCUGGUUGGUGGGGUAAAGGCCUACCAAGGCGACGAUCCGUAGCUGGUCUGAGAGGAUGAUCAGCCACACUGGGACUGAGACACGGCCCAGACUCCUACGGGAGGCAGCAGGGGGGAAUUUUGGACAAUGGGCGCAAGCCUGAUCCAGCCAUUCCGCGUGAGUGAAGAAGGCCUUCGGGUUGUAAAGCUCUUUCAGACGGGAAGAAACGGUUGAGGCUAAUAUCGUUGACUAAUGACGGUACGUUCAGAAGAAGCACCGGCUAACUACGU
rnacentral:rRNA from 1 species